CAUUAUAUAAGUUAUCGUUUAUUUGAUAGUACCUUACUACUUGGAUAACCGUGGUAAUUCUAGAGCUAAUACAUGCUAAAAAUCCCGACUUCGGAAGGGAUGUAUUUAUUAGAUUAAAAACCAAUGCCCUCUGGGCUCUCUGGUGAUUCAUGAUAACUUCUCGAAUCGCAUGGCCUUGCGCCGGCGAUGGUUCAUUCAAAUUUCUUCCCUAUCAACUUUCGAUGUUUGGGUAGUGGCCAAACAUGGUUGCAACGGGUAACGGAGGGUUAGGGCUCGACCCCGGAGAAGGAGCCUGAGAAACGGCUACUACAUCCAAGGAAGGCAGCAGGCGCGCAAAUUACCCAAUCCCGACACGGGGAGGUAGUGACAAUAAAUACUGAUACAGGGCUCUUUUGGGUCUUGUAAUUGGAAUGAGUACAAUUUAAAUCCCUUAACGAGGAACAAUUGGAGGGCAAGUCUGGUGCCAGCAGCCGCGGUAAUUCCAGCUCCAAUAGCGUAUAUUAAAGUUGUUGUGGUUAAAAAGCUCGUAGUUGAACCUUGGGCCUGGCUGGCCGGUCCGCCUCACCGCGUGUACUGGUCCGGCCGGGCCUUUCCCUCUGUGGAACCCCAUGCCCUUCACUGGGUGUGGCGGGGAAACAGGACUUUUACUUUGAAAAAAUUAGAGUGCUCCAGGCAGGCCUAUGCUCGAAUACAUUAGCA
rnacentral:rRNA from 1 species